ensembl:misc_RNA Metazoa_SRP Metazoan signal recognition particle RNA
GCUGGGUGCGGCGGCUCACACCUGUAAUCCCAGCACUUUGGGAGGCUGAGGUGGGUGGAUCACCUGAGGUCAGGAGUUCAAGACCAGCCUGGCCAACAUGGUGAAACCCCAUCUCUG